GACGAACGCUGGCGGCGUGCUUAACACAUGCAAGUCGAACGAAGAGCGAUGGAAGCUUGCUUCUAUCAAUCUUAGUGGCGAACGGGUGAGUAACGCGUAUCAACCUGCCCUUCAGAGGGGGACAACAGUUGGAAACGACUGCUAAUACCGCAUACGAUCUAAUCUCGGCAUCGAGGAUAGAUGAAAGGUGGCCUCUACAUGUAAGCUAUCACUGAAGGAGGGGAUUGCGUCUGAUUAGCUAGUUGGAGGGGUAACGGCCCACCAAGGCGAUGAUCAGUAGCCGGUCUGAGAGGAUGAACGGCCACAUUGGGACUGAGACACGGCCCAGACUCCUACGGGAGGCAGCAGUGGGGAAUCUUCCGCAAUGGACGAAAGUCUGACGGAGCAACGCCGCGUGAGUGAUGACGGCCUUCGGGUUGUAAAGCUCUGUUAAUCGGGACGAAAGGCCUUCUUGCGAAUAGUGAGAAGGAUUGACGGUACCGGAAUAGAAAGCCACGGCUAACUACGUG
rnacentral:rRNA from 1 species